rnacentral:lncRNA from 1 species
GCUCUGAUACCACUAUGUAACACCCCAAUUUUCAUAAACUUUUCAAUCUAAAAACUUUGAAGAACUAAUAGUUAAAAUAAAAUUUCUUGAAUUAUAAAAGUUUAAACCAAUUUAAAAUUUACUUGCCAAAACUAAAGUAGUAACAUGAAAUAAAAAAAAUAAAACGAUAAACUAAAACUUAACAAAUUCUACUAAAAUGUUCAAUAUAAAAUCC